AUAAUAGGGAGGUUUUAGUUUUUUAAACUAUAAUUUUAUUAGUGUCAUCACGAGGUACGUGACACAAUCUUUUUAUGGUAUAGCCUUACUAUUUGUUUUUAAGGUUAAAUUAGCCCAAUUAAAUUUUGGUU